rnacentral:misc_RNA from 1 species
CUCUCUCUCUCUCUCCCUCUCUCAUGCUUAGUUCUGCUAUUAAUUUUGGAAGGUUAUAGGCCAUAGUGUGUAGCAUAGCAUACAUUCACCAUAGGUCGUUGUACCAUACAUGAUUACUUUUUCUCUUUUUCAUUUGAAUACCAGUUACCUCUAGUCGGAACAUCAUGUUGGAACCUGGUUUGCAGUUAAGCAUAUGCAUUGAGUAGUGACCAGGUGGUAAAACUUUUCAAUUAGCUGGUUUGGUUUAAAUUUUCAUUGGCAAAUUAUGAGAUCAUUCAUCAAUAGAUGUUGCUUUCCAUAUUGGCAUAAACAUUGCAAGCCUAUAGCAAUGCAAGAAUAAUGAAACUUGAAAUAAUAUUGUUUCUGUAAGUAAGAGAUCGAAAAGCAGGUUCACAAAGACCAUCAAUAUCUAUUGGAGGAUAGCAACACACAAUAAUGUAUGCUGAUUUUUUUUAUCAUAAUAAUAUAUGCUGAAGUUGAUUGAGUUAUUGCAUCUUAAAUUUUUCAUGCACAAGUCAAACUACUUUAAAGUGUGAGGAAACAUAACAUAACUGAAAAUGCCUGAAGCUUAGCCAGCAUAGAAAUUUGUUGGAGUUCAUUGACAAGUUAUAUAAUUUUAGUUCUGUAUCAAGUAAUUAUACAGUGUUGAAACUACUACACCUCUUUUUCUUGAUUGUCCUUAGGGAAUUAUUUAUGGUGUAGUUUCUUUCAAUUUUUACCUUCUCUCUGCCCUGCUGCAUUCAUGCUUUGAUUAAUUCUCCUUAUAAUGUACGGCAAUCGGUUCAUGAAACUAAUAGAGUUCUUGCUGGAUGUUGAAUUGCUUUGGGUAUUCUGGCUCUAAUAUUACAUAUUCUGGACUCUUGAAAUAUUUGUAGUAGCAGGUCCAGCAUAUGAUGGUUCCUAUGCAAGGCACCGAGUAAACAUAUACUCUUCUUCAACCAGUGCCAUAAUUUAGAGACCUAUUUAAUAACUCGCUAACAUUAUGGAUGGUUUUGGUUAUCUUGUUGUGCCUAGAGUUAUUUCGUGAUAAUGUUUGCAUAAUUAGGGUAUCUUUUGCUGUAGGAUGACUGUUUGAAGAAAUAUUGUAAAUCUCUGGAACGUUGUUUUCUUACUAUUUGUGGACUGGAUACUUGUCAAGGAUCUGUUAUGGCAUUCUGAAUUGAUUAUCAAGCUUCA